rnacentral:lncRNA from 1 species
GACAUUCACAUAAAUAUGGACUUCUGAUAAAUUUGUUCAUUGAGAUAUUUAGUUUCACUUUCAACUUUAUUCUCUUUUUUGGCACCCUCAUGCUAGCUUGUGGGGCUAGCCAACUUGGUGCAAAAGGGUUUACAAAAGCUGAUCGAAAUGCGCGUGAUCGGACACCUUUUGCUAGGCUAUUCGUACGGAAUUUUAAAGAUCUAGGUAUAUAAGCAAUAGAAAGUUCAGAAAAUUCUUUGGAUACACCCUGUAUUUCGUCGAGCUCCGAGUCCAACGCAGGCUAAUCUUCCUCCUUUUGAAUAAGUAUAACCAGUUGUUCGCAGUCGAUUGAAAGACCAUCUCACUGUGUCCAAACUUCAGUAUCACUUGCAUUGCCCAUAGUAAACCUUCAGCUUCCGCUUGCAGUGGUGAUUUGGUGCGUGUAUAUCGGCCCUUGCUCCAAACAGCAUUGGAAAAUCACCAUCCAUUAACACAAAGCCAAAUCCAAAUAUGUCUCUUUUAUUUAUCCAGGAUGUCUAGCAGAAGCGUUUCUUUACGGAGGAACAGUUGUGUCCGUUACCUCAACUCCCAUAUCAAUCUCCAUAAUCUCGUCUAUACGUUGAGCUAUCCUCCAACACUCUGCUUCAAUUUUAUUCGAUAAUGGGAAAGACAUAAUUCCUACGACACUAUUAAUGAUUGUUUUUUUUGUAACACCGAUACGGC